rnacentral:rRNA from 1 species
GAUGGCUUGGUGCUCGAAAGAGAACCGUAACACAGGUGCUGCAUGGCUGUCGUCAGCUCGUGUCGUGAGAUGUUGGGUUAAGUCCCGCAACGAGCGCAACCCUUGUCAUUAGUUGCUACAUUUGGUUGGGCACUCUAAUGAGACUGCCGGUGACAAACCGGAGGAAGGUGGGGAUGACGUCAAGUCCUCAUGGCCCUUAUAGGUAGGGCUACACACGUCAUACAAUGGAUGGUACAGAGGGUCGCCAACCCGCGAGGGGGAGCUAAUCCC